rnacentral:rRNA from 1 species
UGGGGAAUUUUGUGCAAUGGGCGAAAGCCUGACACAGCGACACCGCGUGAGCGAAGAAGCCCUUUGGGGUGUAAAGCUCUGUCAGCAGGAACGAAAAAAAAUGACGGUACCUGCAGAGGAAGCAUCGGCUAACUACGUGCCAGCAGCCGCGGUAAGACGUAGGAUGCAAGCGUUGUCCGGAUUUAUUGGGCGUAAAGAGUUCGUAGGUGGUUCGUUAAGUCUGAUGUUAAAGAUCGGGGCCCAACCCCGGGAGUGCAUUGGAUACUGGCGGACUGGAGUGCAGUAGAGGCGAGUGGAAUUCCCAGUGUAGCGGUGAAAUGCGUAGAUAUUGGGAAGAACACCGGUGGCGUAGGCGACUCGCUGGGCUGUAACUGACGCUGAGGAACGAAAGCCAGGGGAGCGAAUGGGAUUAGAUACCCCAGUAGUCCUGGCCGUAAACGAUGGAUACUAGGCGUA